rnacentral:lncRNA from 10 species
AAGAAAAGAUGUUAAGUUAUAAACAUGUUUCAGUUUUGGUACCACUUGAGCCAAUUUAUGUUUUGAAGAGGAAAGGGUCUUGCCUACAAAGUCAGUCCCUGGGUUUUCCUUCUGCUUAUGGAAUCCAGGCAAUGGGCAAAGAGAAAAAGAAAACUAAGGAAUCAGCCAGAUGCAGUGGCUCAUGCUUGUAAUCUUGGCCCUUUGGGAGGUUGAGGCAGGCGGACUUCUUGAGUCCAGGAGUUCAAGACCAGCCUGGCCCACAUAGCGAGACCCCGUUUCUACAAAAAAUACAAAAAGGUGCUGAGCAUGGUGGCAUGCACCUGUAGUUCCAGUUACUUGGGAGGCUGAGGUGGGAGAACUACUUCAGCCCAGGAGGUUGAGGCUGCAGUGAGCCAUGAUUGUGCCACUAUACUCCAGCCUGGGUGACAGAGUGAGGUCCUGUCUCAAAAGAAAACAAAAAAGAUAAGAAAAAGAAAACUAGGGAAUCUGGACAGAAUAAGUUUAUAUAUAUAAUAAAGAACUGAGAUAGAACUGGGUUGACUGAAUAAUUAUUUGAGUUGCUUUUGAGUGAAUUUUUCCUAUUGGAGUCUACCUUUGUUUUUUUGUGUGUGCGCGUUUUUUGUUUUUUGUUUU